rnacentral:lncRNA from 1 species
CACUGAAAGUUUCUCUGCUUUGGGCCAGCAGGAAAUUCCAGUUGCUUCAUUCACCGGAGCCAGUUAAGCUGCUGAAAUGAAAUGGAUCACCGGAGAGAUCACUAUAUCAGGACAUAGACUUGACUUUCAGGGUUGGAGGAAGCCGGACAAAGAUGAAUGGGAUUCAGAGCCUGAACUCAAGGUCAACGUCUUCUGAAUCACAAAGAGCUGGUGGGUCAGUCUGGGAGAAGAAAGAAAAUUCUGCGCCAAAUGGGAAAACCCUUAAAGUCUGCAUAGUUUUGCUUGUCGGGUCUCCUAUGGACAGAAGUGCGGGCAAGGAGCUUUGUUCCUCCCCGAUGUCACCCUCCCACAGCCCACUUGCUAGCAGGCAAGAGAGGGGUGGAGGCCGGCAGUAAGGCAUGUACUGAACUGGACCUCUGGUGGAAUGGGUCACCCACGCUGGGCUUGACUCUUACCAUCAGGGUCCUGCCAACCCUUCAGUGAGACUUUUUCCGAAGAAUCCCUUUUAAAAUGACCUCAAGCUGACCUUCCUGAUGCAGAUUCCACAUAUGGUAUCUGAGACUCACACAGUGUGGUUGGAAGAUAGCACAGUGACCUCCCAGGCACAGCCCUCUGCCAGCCCUCCACUGGCUGCCCUAGGAUGCUGGCCUUCCUCCGAUGGGAGUCGGGCCCAGUCUGCUGUGAGCCAGGAGAAGCCAGCAAGCUCCCUGCGAGGCCUGGAGGAGCCCUUCUCACUCAGCUUGGUGUUCGAUGCCAGUGCCCCCGCCCAUUGUGGGGUGAGGGUGGGACUCUCAGCACAGCCCUGUCCAAAUAAAUCCUCUAAAGCCCUCUU